UCUUUUGUCCUCCUCUCUGUGCUUCAAUCUGCAGGUGCUGAUUUGUUUUCUAACUGCACAGAAGAGUGUAAGGCCCUGGGGCACUCUGAUCGCUGCUGGAUGCCCAGCUUUGUGCCAUCUGAUGGGCGCCAGGGUCUAGACUACCGCAGCAACCUCCAUGUGCCCGGCAUGGACUCAGUCCCAGAUACAGAGCGAGGAAGAGGGUUUGCUAGCUCCUUCCGUGUGGACAUACCAGAGACUGCAUGACUUUGCACAAUCUCUCCCUGACAACUGGCUAUAAAAAUGCAUCAAGACUGAACGCAUUUUGUCGUCCCCUGCUCUUCUCCUUUGUUACUCACUGAAAUGGAAGCUUACAUUUGCCUUCGACUGCACACAGGAUGAGGAACACAAAGUUUAAUAUUUGCUCUCUUCUGGAGCUGCUUUCCCAGGUUUUGGAAGCUUCCAGAAUCUUGGUAUUUAGUGCCAGUCGGACAUGGAGCAGGAGGAAGAAGAGAAGGAGGUGAAAUGGGUGCAGGGACGCUACUAAAUGUAUAACCUUACUGGGUGGACUCAUUUUCUCAGCCGGACUGAGAAAUCUCCUAAAAAAAACAAAACACAACAAAAACCCAUAAAAAUCAGAGAAAACUUGCAGUGGUGUAGAGGAAAACUGGAUUUUUAUUCUUCAAGCUGUGUGCCUGUUUACAGCACUGAUGUUGAUGUGGAAAAUCACACCAGAUGAGGACUUCAUAUAAACAACGUAAGUGACAGCCAAUGAGAGAAACAGCCCUUUAGGCGUGCUCACACAGUGACGCACCAAACUGUACAGGAAAAUCGUUGUGCAUUUCUAAAUGCAAUACCACUGUUUGAGAUUUUUCUAUUCUGUUGUGUGGUCAGGUGUCUCUGGUACAAUCUACUUUUAACUUGGUAAGAAAAGAUGUGUGCAGGAUAUUGGAUUUUCUGUUAUUUUUAUGUCACUUCUUUUACAUUUAUUUGAUAUUUGAUUUUGAUUUUCCUAUGGCUUACAUAUUUCUGAUUCUGAGCCAUCCGGUUCUUUCUAUCAUGUCUGAGAAGUGUUUAUUGUACUCUUUUAAAAACUUUGAAGCUUAAUAUAAAACUAUAUAAAUUGAUCUAUAUCUACUUGUUCUGAAGGCGUGCUGUUUGUUACUGAGUUUUCCUUUUCAGAGGUGUGACUCUAGUUGAAGUGCCCAUGUAGAAAGCUUAUUUUCUUCCGCUGGACACAUAAGACACAUUCCAGCCUUGGCAGAUGGAAAACUUAGGUUCUCAUUUUAUAUUUUUUCCCACUUUGAAUAAUGAUAAAGAUCAUUUCUAUAAAUAAAGAGUUAAUAAUUUAGACUGAAAGUUGUGGUAAUUUUGUGUCACAGUAAGCAACACUUUAAGGAUGAUCAGAUGCAGCGUGUUGUUCACAAUGCCGUUGAAAUCUGGUAUACAUAUUUGUUUCUCACACAUUGCGAACACCAGUAAGCCAACAAUAAAUGGAACAUAAUGAAAAUUUA